rnacentral:rRNA from 1 species
UACGGAAGGUCCGGGCGUUAUCCGGAUUUAUUGGGUUUAAAGGGAGCGUAGGCCGGAGAUUAAGCGUGUUGUGAAAUGUAGACGCUCAACGUCUGCACUGCAGCGCGAACUGGUUUCCUUGAGUACGCACAAAGUGGGCGGAAUUCGUGGUGUAGCGGUGAAAUGCUUAGAUAUCACGAAGAACUCCGAUUGUGAAGGCAGCUCACUGGAGCGCAACUGACGCUGAAGCUCGAAAGUGCGGGUAUCGAACAGG